GACGAACGCUGGCGGCGUGCUUAACACAUGCAAGUCGAACGGAAAGGCCCUGCUUUUGUGGGGUGCUUGAGUGGCGCACGGGUGAGUAACACGUGAGUAACCUGCCCUUGACUUUGGGAUAACUUCAGGAAACUGGGGCUAAUACCGGAUAGGAGCUCCUGCUGCAUGGUGGUGGUUGGAAAGAUUCGGCUGUUGGGGCUGGACUCGCGGGUUAUCAGCUUGUUGGUGGGGUAGUGGCUUACAAAGGCUUUGAAGGGUAGGCGGCCUGAGAGGGUGACCGGCCACAUGGGGACUGGGAUACGGACCAGACUCCUACGGGAGGCAGCGGUGGGGAACAUGGCACAAUGGGCGGAAGCCAGAUGCAGCAACGCCGCGUGCGGGAUGACGGCCUUCGGGUGGUAAACCGCUUUCGACGGAGACGAAGCGUGAGUGACGGUAAUGGGUAAAGAAGCACCGGCUAACUACGUG
rnacentral:rRNA from 1 species